CUAAAAUUAGAAACCUUGUUUGUUUUUUGCGGAAUAAAAAUACUGGAGCAGUGGAUCACUUGUAUUUUUACUAUAGUCUGCAGCAUCAUUUUUAUAUGGAACUAGUAACGUAAGGAGGUUCACCUUGAUGUUUUUCUCUCAAUAAAUGAGUGUUGUUCGAAUUGUUUCCACCUGAAUUGCGUUUGCAAAGUAGUUAUUUUUUAUGGUCGCGUAUAGUUUCAAACGUAAUACACAACAAAUGUAUUGUUUAAAGUAGGUAAUGGAAAUGGUUAAAGCGAUUAUGACUGACUGCCUGUUCCCGACGGUGGUCCGUGCGUUCUUCCAGAGAGUCUGGGAUCGCCACCUUCAGGGUUGUUGUAGAGUUCGCCAUCGAGACUUCUGCUAAACCGCUUCCACGCUUUCCUCUAUUCGAACGCCGCCGUCACUGGUCAUCGCCGUACAUACUAGAAAACCCAUAGGCAUUAUAUCGGAGGGACGUAUGUGUUUACUUCAUAACAAUCUGCAUGUUUUGUAUAUCAAUAAAACUGUAUAAUCUCUGAA